rnacentral:rRNA from 1 species
UUAGAGUUUGAUCAUGGCUCAGAUUGAACGCUGGCGGCAGGCCUUAUAGAGUUUGAUCAUGGCUCAGAACGAACGCUGGCGGCAUGCCUAACACAUGCAAGUCGAACGAGACCUUCGGGUCUAGUGGCGCACGGGUGCGUAACGCGUGGGAACCUGCCUUUAGGUUCGGAAUAACUCAGAGAAAUUUGAGCUAAUACCGAAUAAUGUCUUCGGACCAAAGAUUUAUCGCCUUUAGAUGGGCCCGCGUAAGAUUACGACUAGUUGGUGGGGUAAUGGCCUACCAAGGCGACGAUCUUUAGCUGGUCUGAGAGGAUGAUCAGCCACACUGGGACUGAGACACGGCCCAGACUCCUACGGGAGGCAGCAGUGGGGAAUAUAGGACAAUGGGCGAAAGCCUGAUCCAGCAAUGCCGCGUGAGUGAUGAAGGCCUUAGGAAAGUAAAGCUCUUUUACCAGGGAUGAUAGAGACAGACCCUGAGAAUAAGCUCCGCAU